GACGAACGCUGGCGGCGUGCUUAACACAUGCAAGUCGAACGAAGUGGCGAACGGGUGAGUAACGCGUAAUCAACCUGCCCUUCAGAGGGGGACAACAGUUGGAAACGACUGCUAAUACCACAUACUGAAGGAGGGGAUUGCGUCUGAUUAGCUAGUUGGAGGGGUAACGGCCCACCAAGGCGAUGAUCAGUAGCCGGUCUGGGAGGAGGAACGGCCAAAUUGGGACUGGGGACAGGCCCAAGCCCCUACGGGAGGCAGCAGUGGGGAAUUUUCCGCAAUGGACGAAAGUCUGACGGAGCAACGCCGCGUGAGUGAUGACGGCCUUCGGGUUGUAAAGCUCUGUUAAUCGGGACGCGGUACCGGAAUAGAAAGCCACGGCUAACUACGUGCCAGCAGCCGCGGUAAUAC
rnacentral:rRNA from 1 species